CGGAGGGAAAAGAAACUAACAAGGAUGCGCUAGUAACGGCGAGCGAACCGCGCAAAGCCCAACUUGAAAAUCUCCCUUGGAGAAUUGUAGUCUAUAGAAGUACCCUCUGUAACGGGCGCAGCUCAAGUCUCCUGGAAAGGGGCGUCAGAGAGGGUGAGAACCCCGUAAGCUGUUGCUUUGUUACCUCACGAGGUGCUUUCAAAGAGUCGGGUUGCUUGGGAAUGCAGCCCAAAUUUGGUGGUAAAUCCCAUCUAAGGCUAAAUACUGGCGAGAGACCGAUAGCGAACAAGUACCGUGAGGGAAAGAUGAAAAGAACUUUGAAAAGAGAGUUAAAAAGUGCUUGAAAUUGUUGAGGGGGAAGCGUUUGAAUGCUAGGGUGCGCCUAGGCUUAUGGGUUCUUAACGGAGCUCUGUAUGUGCUAGGUGCUGGCCAGCAUGGGUUAAGCGAGCGGGAUAAACGCUGGGAUUGAUACCCGGUCUAUGCCGCUUGCUUGACCAAGGCGUGAAGACUGCCCUUGUCCUUCGGGAACUGCAGUCUCAAGAUGCUGGCAAAAGGCUUUCAACCGACCCGUCUUGAAACACGGACCAAGGAGUCUAACAUGUAUGCGAGUUGGUGGGUGGAAAACCCAUGAAGCGUAAGGAAACUGACUGGUGGGAUGGCCUGUGCCUGCACCAUCGACCGACCAUGCGUUUCUGCAAAAGGUUUGAGUGCGAGCAUACCUGUUGGGACCCGAAAGAUGGUGAACUAUGCCUGAGCAGGGUGAAGCCAGGUGAAAACCUGGUGGAGGCUCGUAGAUGUGCUGACGUGCAAAUCGC
rnacentral:rRNA from 1 species